UUAACGGCUGCCAGUGCUACGUGGAAAUGAAGCCUAUCCUUCAGCCAAGGCUGCCUGGAACCUGGAUACCACACGGUGUCCCAGAAGCGAUGGUGGACCAGAAAAGCCUCCCCACCCCAGGAAACCAGUGAGACAGCAUGCAUCACAACCCUUGGGCAGAGUGAGAGACCCUGGGAUGGUACCGGCAACCCCAAACGUGGUGAGGAAAUCGAGGCCCAGAGAAGUAAAAUGGCCAAGGUCACAAACCAAGCAAAUGGCAGAACCGGGAUAAGAACCGAAUCCUGAGCUCUUAGAAUGUCCUGUGUGACAAGAAAUACAAGGUCCACCUGGAUUCUCUUAAGCUCUCAGAGGGAAGAAACUGGGUGUGUUAAACACCUUGAUACUCACCCGGCCCCACAAAACUUAGGUUAACACGGCAGUGUCGAAACUCACCAUGAGACACCACAGUCUUGUCACUAACAUGGCCUCUACCACCUGCUACAGUUUCUUUUUUCAAACAGUGCAACACAGCAAUGACAUCUUAAUAACUAUUAAAUCUCAGCAGCUGAUUAACAUCCGGUGAAUUAAUGGAGAGUACACAACCGCACAAUAGUAAUAUGGUAAAAUGGAAUUGUGAUGUUCUCUGAAGAUUGUGAGCUUGCGCAGGACAUGGGCUAUGUCUGAUCUGCUGGAUCCCCCCCUGGUGCCUGGUACAUAAAUGCUUAAUGAAUAGCACAACUACCUACCUAAGGAAUGCACCCCCAGAUUCCCUCCCUGCCCAUCCGACUGGUAGAAAAGAUGAGGACCUCUGGAUCUCAAGAAUUGAAAUGUGGAUUUUUUUGCAGAUAAACUAAAAAUGAUAUUAACAAAAAAAUUCUGGUAAGGUCUAAUGUCUUUGGCUUUAGUUGUGCAAAUGCAGAUCGAGUCCCAUUCUCCUGGAAUACUGCUAUCUGGGAAUUCCCUUUCUUCAGAAAGGGGAGGCCAGGGCUGGCGCCAUUCCACUGUCUUACUGGUCCUGUGCCUGAAGCUGAAAAGAGAGGUCUACAAACUCAUGGAAGGCUCCCGGGUAGGAGCCGGACCUCCUCAAUCCCCUCCCU